rnacentral:rRNA from 1 species
AUAACUAUUGGAAACGAUAGCUAAUACCGCAUAAGAGUAAUUAACACAUGUUAGUUAUUUAAAAGGAGCAAUUGCUUCACUGUGAGAUGGACCUGCGUUGUAUUAGCUAGUUGGUGAGGUAAAGGCUCACCAAGGCGACGAUACAUAGCCGACCUGAGAGGGUGAUCGGCCACACUGGGACUGAGACACGGCCCAGACUCCUACGGGAGGCAGCAGUAGGGAAUCUUCGGCAAUGGACGGAAGUCUGACCGAGCAACGCCGCGUGAGUGAAGAAGGUUUUCGGAUCGUAAAGCUCUGUUGUUAGAGAAGAACGUUGUGUAGAGUGGAAAAUUACACAAGUGACGGUAUCUAACCAGAAAGGGACGGCUAACUACGUGCCAGCAGCCGCGGUAAUACGUAGGUCCCGAGCGUUGUCCGGAUUUAUUGGGCGUAAAGCGAGCGCAGGUGGUUUAAUAAGUCUGAUGUAAAAGGCAGUGGCUCAACCAUUGUGUGCAUUGGAAACUGUUAGACUUGAGUGCAGUAGAGGAGAGUGGAAUUCCAUGUGUAGCGGUGAAAUGCGUAGAUAUAUGGAGGAACACCGGUGGCGAAAGCGGCUCUCUGGACUGUCACUGACACUGAGGCUCGAAAGCGUGGGUAGCAAACA